rnacentral:misc_RNA from 1 species
GAUGAAGAACGCAGCGAAAUGCGAUAAGUAAUGUGAAUUGCAGAAUUCAGUGAAUCAUCGAAUCUUUGAACGCACAUUCGCCCGCCAGUAUUCUGGCGGGCAUGCCUGUUCGAGCGUCAUUUCAACCCUCAAGACCCCUUCGGGGGACUUGGUGUUGGGGACCGGCACAGGGGCCUGCCUGCUUGUCUUGCAGCGCCCUCGCCGCCCCCGAAAUGAAUUGGCGGCCUCGUCGCGGCCUCCCCUGCGUAGUAGCACAACCUCGCAACGGGAACGUGACGGCGGCCACUGCCGUAAAACAACCCCAAUUUUAUUAGAGUUGACCUCGAAUCAGGUAGGAAUACCCGCUGAACUUAAGCAUAUCAAUAAGCGGAGGA